rnacentral:rRNA from 1 species
GAUGAACGCUGGCGGCGUGCUUAACACAUGCAAGUCGAACGGAAAGGCCUUGCGUUUGCGGGGUGCUCGAGUGGCGAACGGGUGAGUAAUACGACAUUCACCUGCCAGUGACUUAGGGAUAACUUAUGGAAAUUGAGGCUACUAACGGAUAUGGGCUCCCGUUGUUUGGUGGGGGUUAGUGCGUUUUGGAGGUGGGGGCAGGAGUCGGGUCUUAUCAGUUGGUUGGUGGGGUAGUGGCUUACCAAGGCUUGGAAGGGUAGCCGGCCUGAGAGGGCGACCGGCCACAUGGGGACUGAGAUGCCGCCCGGACUCAUACGGGAGGCAGGAGUGGGGGAUAGUGCACAAUGGGCGGAAGCCUGAUGGAAGAACGCCGCGUGCGGGAUGACGGCCUUCGGGUUAUAAGCCGCUUUCGCCUGGGACGUAGCGGUAGUGACGGGAAUGGGAAAAAAAGCACCGGCUAACUACGGU